UACGUAGGGUGCGAGCGUUGUCCGGAAUUAUUGGGCGUAAAGGGCUCGUAGGCGGUUUGUCGCGUCGGGAGUGAAAACCAUGGGCUUAACUCAUGGCUUGCUUCCGAUACGGGCAGACUAGAGGCAUGCAGGGGAGAACGGAAUUCCUGGUGUAGCGGUGAAAUGCGCAGAUAUCAGGAAGAACACCCGUGGCGAAAGCGGCUCUCUGGGACGGUACUGACGCUGAGACGCGAAAGCGUGGGGAGCGAACAGG
rnacentral:rRNA from 1 species